UACGUAGGGUGCGAGCGUUAAUCGGAAUUACUGGGCGUAAAGCGUGCGCAGGCGGUUAUUUAAGUCAGGUGUGAAAGCCCUGGGCUUAACCUAGGAAUGGCGCUUGAGAACUGGAUAGCUUGGAGUGUGGCAGAGGGAGGUGGAAUUCCACGUGUAGCAGUGAAAUGCGUAGAGAUGUGGAGGAACACCGAUGGCGGAAGGCAGCCU
rnacentral:rRNA from 1 species